UACAGAGGUCUCAAGCGUUGUUCGGAAUCACUGGGCGUAAAGGGUGCGUAGGCCGCACGGUAAGUCAGAUGUGAAAUCUCAGGGCUCAACUCUGAAAUUGCAUCCGAUACUGCCGUGCUUGAGGACUGGAGAGGAGUCUGGAAUUCAUGGUGGAGCAGUGAAAUGCGUAGAUAUCAUGAGGAACGCUAGUGGCGUAGGCGAGACUCUGGACAGUUCCUGACGCUGAGGCACGAAGGCCAGGGGAGCAAACAGG
rnacentral:rRNA from 1 species